GAGUCGGACCUGCCCGGUGAGGUUUUUAACGGCCGCGGUACUCUGACCGUGCAAAGGUAGCAUAAUAAUUUGCCUUAUAAUUGAAGGCUAGUAUGAAUGGUUUGACGAGAAUAAAGCUGUCUCUUUGCAACUUAAUAGAAAUUUAUUUACGGAUGAAAAAGUCCGUAUGUUAUUAAUAGACAAGAAGACCCUAUCGAGCUUAAAAAAAAUUAGUAGGAUAAGAAUUAAAUUAAACUAAAAAAUCAUCUACUAAAAAUUUUGGUUGGGGCGACUAAGGAACAAAUAAAGCUUCUUUAAAAAUAGUUUUUGCCUAUUAGCUUUGAUCCGAAAAUUUUCGAUUAAUAAAAUUAGUUACCGUAGGGAUAACAGCAUUAUCUUUUUUGAGAGCUCUUAUCGAAAAAAAGGUUUGUGACCUCGAUGUUGGACCAGAAUGUCCUGAAGAUGCAGCAGUCUUUAAGGGUUGGUCUGUUCGACCAUUAAUAUUCUACGUGAUCUGAGUUCG
rnacentral:rRNA from 1 species